GGAACUUAUAAACCUCGGGUUCGAUGUUAUGACACCUAUCAGUUAUCCUUGAAGUUUGAAAGGUGUUUAGAUUCAGAGGUUGUCACCUUUGAAACUUUGUCUGAUGACUAUUCAAAGAUUGUUUUCUUACAUAAUGAUAGAUACAUCGAAUUCCACUCACAAUCGGGUUUUUACUACAAAACCAGAAUACCAAAGUUCGGGAGAGAUUUCUCCUACCACUAUCCUUCCUGUGACUUGUACUUUGUUGGCGCAAGGUAUUGGGUCUGAUCCUUUGUUUUCUCCUUUCCACCCCACAAACGGCUUCUGUUGUUGAAAUCAAGGAGAGGAUUUUUUUUUUUUUUUAAAGA